GCGGUAAUGUUUAUGUACGGUCAAGAACGAUCGACGCGUCGUCGUGGAUUCCUCAUAACAAACAGCUGACGUUGCCGUGCUUGCGACGUACAUUUGAAUUCGUUGUAUACGCAGCACGGGUCCAGACAUGUUCGCCGCCUAGACGCUCCGCCUUGGUGCCAGGUGUGGACCUGGCUUAACGUAUCUCCGGUGUCCAUGAGGCACACGAGGUUAAUAUGGCCGCCAGUUCUCGACGCGUACGGAACCAGUUCCAGGAUGAAACCGGUUUGGAACUAGUUUCCAUUGGUUUUUCGGCCCCCUGCGAGACCGUGCCACGACCGAGAUUGGCACUCGUGCCGGACUACUCUCGACGGUUGGAACGGAGGUUACGUUACCAGGGCACGCUAAUAUGGCCGAUAUUACAGAGCAAAAAGGUGACAACAAGCUCGACGGGCAAAUGGAGAUCAAGGUCGAGCCGACGAUGCAGUGUUACGUCGAGGAGGAGCACGAGAACGGUUUCCCCGGUUUCGAGAACAACGGGGCGAUACCGUCGAGCGCGGACGUCGGCGCUCUGAACCUGUGGACCAGCAAAGCGACCACGUGCUUGAUCAGCCAGUACAAGAAAUACCGGUCGAUGGUCGGCCAGUCGACGCAGAUCAGGAGCUUGAGGGAGAUGUUCGAGAUGAUCUCCAUCGAGAUGCAGAACUACGGGUUCUACUUCAGCCCGCAGAAGUGCGAGAACAAGUGGCGUGUGCUCGAGCGUAAGUACAAGAACUUGGUGUUCCGGGAACGGCUGAAGAAGCCGGGCAGAAUGCGGCAUUACGGCCACUGGGAGCACAAGCGUGCCCUGGACGAGAUUUUCAACGAGAAAAGGCGACACAUGUACCUGGAGGAGGGCGAGUUCCCGUCGCCGGCCGGCGGCUCCGCGAAAUCGUACACGUACAUAUUACCGAAACCGGCGUCGGAGGAGCAGCAGCAGGGCAGCACCGACCAGCCGAAACAGGACGAUCCUCUGGCGGCGCCGACUUCGAACUGCGUCCCGAAUAGCAAGAACGAGCUGUCGGACCAGAAGGGACCGUUGGUCGCGUUCUUCGACAGAUUUUUGAACGAGAUGACCAAGAACUUCGCCGUCGCCGAGAAGAACCGCGAGAAAAGGCACAAAGAGGAGAUGAGCAUGCGACAGAGCGAGCUCGAGGUGCAGAAAAGACUGUUGAAGCUGAAGGAGCAGAAGCUCGAGCUGCAAAAGUGUCAGAUCAUCGCUGCCGCUCAACACUUGCAUUUGAACAUGUGAAGACGACGCUAUGGACGUUGUUUACCGAAUGAUUUUGUUUACCAAAAGGUGUAUUUUUAAGAAGCGCAGCGUGUUCUUUCGUUUCUCUCUCGAAGCGAGCGGGAUGGAGAAGAUAUUAGGAGAUCCUGUGGACAAGUAACGGGACACAUUUCGGUGGCUUUGAAAUAUUUUAUUUUUAUAUCAUUAAUAUAAUUAUUAUUAAUUAUAUUAUA